CUCGAUUUCUAGAGGCUGAAAAUCUAGUGAGGGGGCAAGCCUUGGCUGGUAUGAACCAUUUGGUUUUAAUACUAGUUCUUAAAAUAUUGACAACAAAUGCUGAGCUUCAUCUCAAGCCCCUGGAGUGCCUUCCUCUACCCAGGCCAGCAUCCCCUGCCCCACCGGGAAAUCCACACUACCCAGCAGUGAAAGGGUUAAUGCCUGGCUUAGUGGGAGACCCUGCCCCAGCCCAGGAGUCAUAAUCCGUUCUGAUUGGUCAGCCCUCCAGAGGCUCCUGAUUGUUAAACAUUCUGUACGUGACUCUGGAAGCAGUGCUUACUCUAAACCAGCCACAGGGUAAAAUAGUGCAGAUGUCAUAGGGGCCGAAGCAAGUCGACCACUCAUCCAUCCAGUGGGCAGCAAGUUUCUUUGGAAGAUGUCCACCCUCACCCAUGCUGGGCCAGACCCCUUCUUGUGUCACCUGGUUCUUUCCUCUGCCUCCAACCUUAGCCUUUUCCCUGGCCUCCCGGACUUCACUACAAGCUCCCCAGCCAAUGCAUCUUCCACUCACGGCCAGCCAGACGGAUCUGGUCACACCAGCUGGCUUCUUGCUGUGCUCAGGGUGCACGCAGCUUGUCUGGUGUCACAGGCUCACGGCUGGAGAGGACCUCCGCCUCAGGAUGAGUUGCCAGGCCGCAGAGCCCGGUGGUAAGAAUGCUCUGGGUUUGCCUCCCGGCCCCCCUUCAUUCACAGCUGGAUGGCACCUCUGUUGAAGCAAGUCUCAUACGGAGAUUGUGUGAAAUGGGCACGCAGGGACCGAUUUGGAAGCUGCUGGUUGUUGAUCAAGUCCCACCGUGUUGUGGGGUCCGAGUUCUGUUGUCAUAUAUGGUCUGGCCAUUGUCGGUGCAGGCUAGGGUGUCUGGGUUUGUCCUCUUCUGCAUGAUGCGCCUUGACCGUGGUGUCUUGCCUUGCUCUUCUUGGGAUCUCCUCCGCAUAGAACUUCACAUUUGGGGCUCACCAAUGCUUGCCGAAUGGUUGGAUAAAAGACAAGGUCCAGCCGCCAAGUUACAGACCACUGAGCUGUUGCAGCCUAGAGGGAACUCGAAGGUUCAUACCUACCUUAUCUCAGUUCAAGCCAACAAAUAUCAGUGAUCACGUGCCUAGAGUGUCACGACCCAUACCUGAGGCCACAGAAGGGCCCGAGGGAGGCAUGGAGACUAAAUAACUGUAAUCUCUUCCAAGGCUUUCCCACUGCUGCCUUGCAUUUGAGAAGUGGUUAGACUAAAAUGCAGCCAGUUACUCAAUCAGGUAGUUGUACAAUACAAACAAAAUCGCCUCUACAUAUUGUUGUUUCCAAAAUGAUGUUAACCAACAUGCUCUCAUUUAAUCUUCAAAACAGCAUUGUGAGAUAGGUAUUAUUCCCCCAUUUUACUGAUGAGCCAACUGAGACUCUGAGAAGCUAAGCUGGCACCUGGCAGCAUGGGACUUGAAUCCAGAGCCCAGCCUCUUCCACACACUGGA